CAUGAAGCUGGAAUCGCUAGUAAUCGCGGAUCAGAAUGCCGCGGUGAAUACGUUCCCGGGUCUUGUACACACCGCCCGUCACACCAUGGGAGUCGGAAAUGCCCGAAGCCGGUGGCCUAACCGAUAAGGGAGGAGCCGUCGAAGGCAGGUCUGAUGACUGGGGUGAAGUCGUAACAAGGUAAC
rnacentral:rRNA from 1 species